AUUGAACGCUGGCGGCAGGCCUAACACAUGCAAGUCGAGCGAGCGGCGGACGGGUGAGGAAUGUAUGGGGACUGCCCGAUAGAGGGGGAUAACUACUGGAAACGGUAGCUAAUAACGCAUACUAUCGGAUAACCCAUAUGGGAUUAGCUCGUUGGUGAGGUAAUGGCUCACCAAGGCGACGAUCCCUAGCUGGUCUGAGAGGAUGAUCAGCCACACUGUGACUGAGACACUGCCCAGAUUCCUACGGAGGCAGCAGUGGCGAAUAUUGCACAAUGGGCGCAAGCCUGAUGCAGCCAUGCUGCGUGUAUGAAUAAGGCCCUAGGGUUGUAAAGUACUUGCAGUCGGGAUGCGUUACCGACAGAAGCAGCGCCGGCUAACUCCGUGCAAGCAGCCGCGGUAAUUC
rnacentral:rRNA from 1 species